rnacentral:misc_RNA from 1 species
UGGYCGGGCACGAGACGGUACACGAGACGCUAAACAGAGGCACCGAUCAUGAGACACUAGACGGUAUGUGGGUUGGUAUACGAUGAUUAUUGUUGGGACACGAGUUUGACGCUAUUCGGUUUACGAGCAGCGUGCCCCCGAGCAGGCACGUCGUCCGGGGCUUGCCCUUGACGGGGUGCUUGCGCCAACGGUUGGUUUAGGCCAACCGGGCCGAAUUGAAGUUGUGGCCACACAACGUCAUUGAGGCAUGUUCCUUCCAUGAUUGAUGCAUAUCGGUUGGUUAAGCCCGCACGAUGUUCCUAGAACGGCCCUGGCCAAUGAAUCGGGUGUUGUGAGCCUUGCGCAAUGCUACUGAGGCCAAAUCUCUCGCUGAUCCUCGAUCGUAGCAUGGUGAGUUACGAAGCCUGGCUAGUGACUAGAUAUACUAAGAACGUGGUGCUGCGGGCAAGGUAAGCUGACGUGCAAGCUGUUAAUCCAUGUCUAAAGUAUGCUUGGUUGCCCAAGCUUGGCUAGCGACUAGACGUUAGUACGAUAUGGUGAUAUAGGUGUGCAUCGAGGCAUGGUGGUUUCAWUUUUUUCUUUGUUACUUUCGCAUCGUUCGGUGCAUUUUGGGGGCUGUUUUGGCUUUUGGUUGCUUGCUUGGCCUUUUGGUUGGGUGGGUCGCUACUAGUCGGGCGGCUUUCGGGAAUGUCGACCGGGGAGGUGCAUGAGUGGUGUUUGGUUUGUUACGGGUGGUUGGCUGUUUGCUUGCGCAACAACGUCCACGCGGCAUACCUYUUCAGUUUUGCGGCAAGACUUCGUUUGUCUUGAGCAUAUUGUGGGUUUCCUGUGUUGCAUACCUAAUCGAUGGUAACGUGCUGGUUUUACGAUGUUCCUUUUCGUCAUGUGUCGCUCUUGCGGCGUGKGAUGAACAUUGAAGCGGUCUUUGUGAUCCACCUUGUCGUUGCAUUUGCAAGGAYGAURUGGCCUAUGAAGCAUCGCUUGGUCUCCUGUAUACAGAACCUGAUGUGGGCAUGGUUCUUAUAAGAUCCUGAAUUUGCCCUCGUUAAGCGUUCUCGCUUCUCCAAAACGAUUGCCUGUCAUGUCUUGGCUUGUCCUUGCAUGGUGGGCUACGUCGA